AGAGUUUGAUCCUGGCUCAGGACGAACGCUGGCGGCGUGCUUAACACAUGCAAGUCGAGCGAGAGAACUUCCUUCGGGAAGGACUCUAGCGGCGGACGGGUGAGUAACACGUGGGUAACCUGCCUCAUAGAGGGGAAUAGCCUUUCGAAAGGAAGAUUAAUACCGCAUAAGAUUGUAGUUUCGCAUGAAACAGCAAUUAA
rnacentral:rRNA from 1 species